CAUUUAUCGGUGACAGUGCUCACCACAUUUG
rfam:Felis catus isolate Cinnamon breed Abyssinian chromosome C1, whole genome shotgun sequence.